rnacentral:rRNA from 1 species
GACGAACGCUGGCGGCGUGCUUAACACAUGCAAGUCGAACGAUGAACCCGGAGCUUGCUCUGGGGGAUUAGUGGCGAACGGGUGAGUAACACGUGAGUAACCUGCCCUGGACUCUGGGAUAAGCGUUGGAAACGACGUCUAAUACCGGAUAGGACCUUGGAUCGCAUGAUCUGGGGUGGAAAGUUUUUUCGGUCUGGGAUGGACUCGCGGCCUCUCAGCUUGUUGGUGAGGUAAUGGCUCACCAAGGCGUCGACGGGUAGCCGGCCUGAGAGGGUGACCGGCCACCCUGGGACUGAGACACGGCCCAGACUCCUACGGGCGGCAGCAGUGGGGAAGAUUGCACAAUGGGCGAAAGCCUGACGCAGCAACGCCGCGCGCGGGAGGACGGCCUUCGGGUUGUAAACCGCUUUUAGUAGGGAAGAAGGGCUUCGGCUUGACGGUACCUGCAGAAAAAGGACCGGCUAACUACGUG